rnacentral:rRNA from 1 species
UGAGGAAUAUUGGUCAAUGGGCGGAAGCCUGAACCAGCCAUGCCGCGUGCAGGAAGGAGGCCCUACGGGUUGUAAACUGCUUUUACCCGGGAAGAAACCGCCCCCUGUGGGGGGCGUUGCCGGUACCGGGGGAAAAAGGAUCGGCUAACUCCGUGCCAGCAGCCGCGGUAAUACGGAGGAUCCGGGCGUUAUCCGGAAUUACUGGGUUUAAAGGGUGCGUAGGCGGGGCUUUAAGCCGGCGGUGAAAUGCAGCGGCUCAACCGCUGGAAUGCCGUUGGGACUGGGGCUCUUGGAUACGGUCGGGGCGGGUGGAACUCGUGGUGUAGCGGUGAAAUGCAUAGAUAUCACGAGGAACGCCGGUAGCGAAGGCAGCUCGCCGGGCCGGUAUUGACGCUGAGGCACGAAAGCGUGGGGA